GUCUCUGUAUCGCAAUGGAUAGCGCCUUGGACCUCUAAUCCAAAGGUCGUGGGUUUGAAUCCCACUUGGGAAG
rnacentral:tRNA from 1 species